CCGCGGUAAUUCCAGCUCCAAUAGCGUAUACUAAAGUUGUUGCGGUUAAAAAGCUCGUAGUUGGAUCUUGGAAUGUGUUCAAGCGGGUCAGCUUCUGGCUGUGCGCUGCUUGACGUGUUCUUCUAUUUGGUUUUGGUGCGGUGCGCUUAACUGCGUGUCGCUCCCGGCCGAAACGUUUACCUUGAAAAAAUUAGAGUGUUCAAAGCAGACCUGUUUGAGUCUGAAUAUUCGUGCAUGGAAUAAUGAAAUAUGAAUUCGGUUCUAUUUUGUUGGUUUUCGGAACUCGAGUUAAUGAUCAAGAGGGACAGACGGGGGCAUUCGUACUCUGCCGUUAGAGGUGAAAUUCUUGGAUCGGCGGAAGACGCGCAACUGCGAAAGCAUUUGCCAAGAAUGUUUUCUUUAAUCAAGAACGAUAGUCGGAGGUUCGAAGACGAUCAGAUACCGUCCUAGUUUCGACUGUAAACUAUGCCAGCUAACGAUCAGACAGAGUUCUCUACGACUUGUCUGGCAGUUUCCGGGAAACCAAAGCGUUUGGGUUCCGGGGGAAGUAUGGUUGCAAAGCUGAAACUUAAAGGAAUUGACGGAAGGGCACCACCAGGAGUGGAGCCUGCGGCUUAAUUUGACUCAACACGGGGAAACUCACCCGGCCCGGACACAGUGAGGAUUGACAGAUUGAGAGUUCUUUCUUGAUUCUGUGGGUGGUGGUGCAUGGGCCGUUCUUAGUUGGUGGAGCGAUUUGUCUGGUUAAUUCCGAUAACGAACGAGACUCUGGCACGUUAAAUAGUCGCGGAAGUGCGUAUGCACUUGCCGAAUUGACUUCUUAGAGGGACUAGUGAUUUUAAUUCACACGAGAUUGAGCAAUAACAGGUCU
rnacentral:rRNA from 1 species